rnacentral:rRNA from 1 species
UACGGGGGGGGCAAGCGUUGUUCGGAAUUACUGGGCGUAAAGGGCUCGUAGGCGGCCAACUAAGUCAAACGUGAAAUCCCUCAGCUUAACUGGGGAACUGCGUCUGAUACUGGAUGGCUCGAGUGUGGGAGAGGAAUGCGGAAUUCCAGGUGUAGCGGUGAAAUGCGUAGAUAUCUGGAGGAACACCGGUGGCGAAGGCGGCAUUCUGGACCACAACUGACACUGAGAGACGAAAGCCAGGGGAGCAAACGGG